GCCCCUGUGGCACAGCAGGAAAGCGCACCGGAUUGCGAAUCCGGAGGUCGGGAGUUCAAGUCUCCCCGGGGGCA
rnacentral:tRNA from 1 species